rnacentral:lncRNA from 1 species
GGCCAAUCAAUUCUCAUCAUGUGGUUGGUCCAAAGACGCAUGGAAAUGCCCAAAUCUCUCCUAUUUGGCUAUAUUUAGUCCACAAUGGCAAAUAGUUUCUAUAACCAUGAGAUAUGCAGGAAUUAGCACAUGGGAUAAUCACACAUGUGAUGUAUUUUGGACGUACAAAUGAUUAUCCAAAAUGAUCAUUUUUGCACAUUCUAAAAUUCUAUAGCAAUGUGUAUUGGCCCUCGCUUGUAUAAACUAAUUAAGAGAGACUC